CUGAGGCUCAUGGAACGGCUUCAAGUCCAAAAUUUCGUAGCGGUGGCGCAUGACCUGCGAUGAAGAAGGUGCCUGUUGGUACAGAACCACGGAGAACGUGCCUAACUGGGAUGGGAUGCUUUUGGCUGUGGAGGUCCAGAGACCUCCCAGCUCACGAGGCAGGAAGAGAGAAAAUGCGAAAACCGCCAGAACAGUUCUUAGAAUAUUCCCGGAGCCCAAAAAAUCGAAAAUCGUCUCACGAAUCGAAUGGCGCCAGCCAAAUUGCCCUAGCUAUGAUAUUUCCAAAGAUAUGGACGAAAAACGGUGUGAUCCCAAAUCCGGGCCCUUUUUGCUCUAGGAGGCCCAGGAGCCGAGAAAAACGCGAAAAACGAAAAAAUCGAUUUUAGAAAAUUCCUGGAGCCCUAGAAAAAUCGGAAAUCAUCUCGUCAUAUUCGAGAGUUUUGUACUGGUGGUGGAAGAUUCAAACAUGGUCUAGUCUCAAACUGGCAUUGUGGACCGGAGAAGUUCUCUGAGCACUCGCAUUGAUUCGGACCAAUGCAAAUACCAUUAUUUAAACAUUGGGGAAGACAAACCGCUGAAAGAAUGAACCCUCCAGCUUACGUUGACAAUCCGGGGUAAUGGACCCCUCUGUAUCCGGUAUUUCCCAUUUGCCAUCCUGGCAGGUGAUGGGCAAAGUCUCGGCUCCAUUUGGGAAUCGAUAGUAUCUACUACAGGUGGCAUGGCAAUGUCUAAUUGAAUAAGUGAAUAAAGUCAGUCGGGCACACAAUAGAGGGUUAAUACAAAAGUAUUUCCCUCUAACAGCUGAUCCGUCCAUUGAUAGGGGGAUUCGGGAUUUCUCCACAAUUACCGGUUGAUUCCAAAGAUCCUGCAGGACUUUUGGCUGAGUACGAUGCAAAUUGUUCCUGGCGGUGGUGGCUGGUUUGGAAAAUACAAUAAAUGGAGAAUAUGUGAACACAUAUGCAUGAAACAUUUAUUUGUUAAUUAUUAAUUAUAUAUAAAAUAGGAUAUGGUAAAUGAGUUACCCUCAUCCUCUUGCACUAACAUUAAAAUGUCCUCACAUUAAAUGUGGGAUGUGUGUUCUUAUAACUAAGUAAAUUAUAAUUAACGAGAGUCAAUACCAAUUUGGGGACAUUCGCGUUAUAUUAUUAUUUAAACAAUUUUUCAUGUAUUUUCUCUGGGUGUUCUACUGAAUGUACUAGAACAAAAAUUACC